rnacentral:rRNA from 1 species
UACGGAGGGGGCGAGCGUUAUUCGGAAUUAUUGGGCGGAAAGGGCGCGUAGGCGGCUGUACAAGUCAAAGGUGAAAUCCCUCGGCUCAACUGAGGAACUGCCUUUGAAACUGUACGGCUUGAGGCCGGGAGGGGGUAGCGGAAUUCCCAGUGUAGCGGUGAAAUGCGUAGAUACUGGGAGGAACACCAGUGGCGAAGGCGGCUACCUGGACCGGUUCUGACGCUGAGGCGCGAAAGCGUGGGUAGCAAACAGG